CCAAGGAGUCUAACACGUGUGCGAGUCAUGGAGCGAUACGAAACUCAAAGGCGCAAUGAACGUGAAGGUGGGUUUUUCGACUCGCCUAGGUAGGACGCGGCGAAUCCUUUUUCGUCGAAGCACUACUGGCCCGUCUCGAUCUUACCGUGGAUGAGGCGGAGCAAGAGCACAUGCGUUGGGACCCCGAAAGAUGGUGAACUAUGCCUGAGCAGGACGAAGCCAGAGGAAACUCUGGUGGAAGUCCGUAGCGAUUCUGACGUGCAAUCGAUCGUCGAACUUGGGUAUAGGGGAGAAAGACUAAUUCGAAC
rnacentral:rRNA from 1 species